GUGACACUGUCGCGGUGGGGGGGCGCGGGAGCGCUCUACUAAGCCAUAGGACACAAGGCCGGCUUGGCAACUUAAUGCCCGCCAACGCCAGAGAUGGGCCUGAGACUUUAGGCCGCCUUGCAAAGUAGAGGACACACGGAAGUUCACAGGGGACCCUGCAGUGUGGAGAGGCAUGAAACUGGAGGUCCAAUGCCGUGAGGUAACCAAGAUGCCCAUACAGAAGAUGCAUUGGUGGAUGGGUGAAGAGAUGGUGAAACGGAUAAUUCAGUGGUGAUCUUGAGAAGAAUUCCACACACAAAAAAAACAACAACAACAGAUUAACAGAUGAAACAAUCUCAUAAGCCACUUCACACUGAAUUUCUCUAGAACAAGAAUCUAUAAAAUUUUUUGAUCAAACACCCACUGGAAAAAUUUUUGAACAUGGACACCCAGUAUUUGAAGUUCUUGGUAAAUUACUGUGAGUAAAGAUUUAACCAAC